ACGGGAGGCAGCAGUAGGGAAUUUUCGUCAAUGGGGGGAACCCUGAACGAGCAAUGCCGCGUGAGCGAUGAAGGUCUUCGGAUCGUAAAGCUCUGUUGUAAGAGAAAAACGACACAUAUAGGGAAUGAUAUGUGAGUGAUGGUAUCUUACCAGAAAGUCACGGCUAACUACGUGCCAGCAGCCGCGGUAAUACGUAGGUGGCGAGCGUUAUCCGGAAUGAUUGGGCGUAAAGGGUGCGUAGGCGGCAAGAUAAGUCUGAAGUCAAAGCUGGCAGCUCAACUGUCAUACGCUUUGGAAACUGUCUAGCUAGAGUGCAGAAGAGGGUGAUGGAACUCCAUGUGUAGCGGUAAAAUGCGUAGAUAUAUGGAAGAACACCGGUGGCGAAGGCGGUCACCUGGUCUGUAACUGACGCUGAGGCACGAAAGCGUGGGGAGCAAAUAGGAUUAGAUACCCUGGUA
rnacentral:rRNA from 1 species